rnacentral:rRNA from 1 species
AUUGAACGCUGGCGGCAGGCCUAACACAUGCAAGUCGAGCGGAUGAAGGGAGCUUGCUCCUGGAUUCAGCGGCGGACGGGUGAGUAAUGCCUAGGAAUCUGCCUGGUCGUGGGGGAUAACGUCCGGACACGGGCGCUAAUACCGCAUACGUCCUGAGGGAGAAAGUGGGGGAUCUUCGGACCUCACGCUAUCAGAUGAGCCUAGGUCGGAUUAGCUAGUUGGUGGGGUAAAGGCCUACCAAGGCGACGAUCCGUAACUGGUCUGAGAGGAUGAUCAGUCACACUGGAACUGAGACACGGUCCAGACUCCUACGGGAGGCAGCAGUGGGGAAUAUUGGACAAUGGGCGAAAGCCUGAUCCAGCCAUGCCGCGUGUGUGAAGAAGGUCUUCGGAUUGUAAAGCACUUUAAGUUGGGAGGAAGAGCAGUAAGUUAAUACCUUGCUGUUUUGACGUUACCAACAGAAUAAGCACCGGCUAACUUCGUG